CUGGUCAAUGGGCGCAAACCUGACCCAGCCCUCCCGCGUGCAGAAAGAUGGCGCUCUGCGUUGUAAACUGCUUUUCCAGGGGAGAGAAACUUGCGCACGUGUUGCGCAAUUGACGGUACCCUGGGAAUAAGCAUCGGCUAACUCCGUGCCAGCAGCCGCGGUAAUACGGAGGAUGCGAGCGUUAUCCGGAUUCAUUGGGUUUAAAGGGUGCGUAGGCGGACUAUUAAGUCAGUGGUGAAAUCCUGCAGCUUAACUGCAGAACUGCCAUUGAUACUGAUAGCCUUGAGUUUGGUUGAGGUAGGNGGAAUGUGUAAUGUAGCGGUGAAAUGCUUAGAUAUUACACAGAACACCAAUCGCGUAGGCAGCUUACUGACCCGACACUGACGCUAAGGCAAGAAAGCAUGGGGAUCGAACAAAAUAAGAUA
rnacentral:rRNA from 1 species